rnacentral:rRNA from 1 species
UGGGGAAUAUUGCGCAAUGGACGAAAGUCUGACGCAGCAACGCCGCGUGAGUGAAGAAGGCCUUCGGGUUGUAAAGCUCUGUCGAAUGGGACGAAAAACUGCAAGACAGCUUGCAGCUUGACGGUACCAUUAGAGGAAGCACCGGCUAACUCUGUGCCAGCAGCCGCGGUAAUACAGAGGGUGCAAACGUUGCUCGGAAUUAUUGGGCGUAAAGGGGAGGUAGGUGGUCCUGUUUGUCUGUGGGUGAAAUCCCGGAGCUUAACUCCGGAAUUGCCUCGGAAACGGCAGGACUAGAGUAUCGGAGAGGGUCGUGGAAUUCCCGGUGUAGCGGUGAAAUGCGUAGAGAUCGGGAGGAACACCAGUGGCGAAAGCGACGACCUGGACGAUUACUGACACUCAA